rnacentral:rRNA from 1 species
AAGGGCACCACAAGAACGCGUGGAGCAUGUGGCUUAAUUUGACUCAACGCGGGAAAUCUUACCGGGUCCGGACACACUGAGGAUUGACAGGCAAUAUCUAAAUCGUUUAUAAUUCCUAUUAUAAUACGUAUUUAGUGUUAAAUAUGCUAGUCCUUUCAUGAUUAUGUGAUAGGUGGUGCAUGGCCGUUCUUAGUUCGUGGAGUGAUCUGUCUGCUUAAUUGCGUUUCACUAAGGGCCCAUAAAUUCAAGGUGUGUUAGCUAUCGUUUCUCAAUUGACCCCUUGUCUUCGAUAAGCGCGUGUCUUUUAGAGUUUAAACAUUGCGCAUGCUGUUGGGUCCUGAAAGCAACGAACGUGACCGCAACGUCUUAUUGCCUUUAUCUUGUUAUAUUCUAAUUUAAUUAGAAAUAACUAACAGAGGCUAAUUUAAAAUUAGACGGACCGCUGUACUUUUCUUAAACCAGAGGAAGGUUGCGGCAAUAACAUGUCUGUGAUGCCCUUAGAUGUUCCGGGCUGCACACGUGCUACAAUGAUCAGUACAGUGAGCAUCUCAAUAUUAUACACCGUAUUAAGCGCUUAGUUGCGAUUAUUGGCCCAUUAUUGGGUCUUUUAAUUGUAUUUCUAAUGCGCGCGGUAAAGCCUGCUUCGAGAGUAAGUGGGUAAUCCAUUGGAAGUAAUGAUUUCUCUUUUUAUAGCACACCUAUAUACGGCAUUCAUUCCCGGGACGACUAGUUUCGUCUUUUUUGUGCGAAUGUAAUGUAUUCUUUAUCCGUAUGUGCGAUUGUCAAUUCAUGGUGGGGACAGACCAUUGUUAAUUGUUGGUCUCGGUCUUAACUAGGAAUGCCUUGUACGGGUCUUUGGUUCAACAAACCACCCGGAAUACGUCCCUGCCCUUUGUACACACCGCCCGUCGCUCUUACCGAUGAACUUCUUUGUGAGUCUAAGGGACUGGGUUAAUCUGUAAUUCUAUUAUGGAUAUACCUAUGGAAACUUAUACGAACGAUGUGGUUUAAAGGAAAGAGAAGUCGUAACAAGGCAUCA